rnacentral:rRNA from 1 species
UACGUAGGGGGCAAGCGUUGUCCGGAUUUAUUGGGCGUAAAGAGCGUGUAGGCGGCCAGAUAGGUCAGCUGUGAAAACUCGAGGCUCAACCUCGAGAUGUCGGCUGAAACCAUCUGGCUAGAGUCCGGAAGAGGAGAAUGGAAUUCCUGGUGUAGCGGUGAAAUGCGCAGAUAUCAGGAAGAACACCAAUGGCGAAGGCAGCUCUCUGGGACGGUACUGACGCUGAGACGCGAAAGCGUGGGGAGCGAACAGG